rnacentral:snoRNA from 2 species
GUGAAGGCAGUGAUGAUGAAAAUCUACCUAUUUUAUGAGUAAAUCUCUGAUUAGAAAUUUUACCAAUGGAUCCUUCUGAGCCUUCA